GAAUUCGAGAGAAAAUGGGAGAUUUUCCAGAACGGAAGGAUGCACAUCUCUACCCACAGCAGAAUAAGACACAGAAUAAGGUGUGUCCUGACAUUUCAGAGCCUCAAAGAGAGGAGCUCAGGAGCAAACUGAGCAAC